AACGAACGCUGGCGGCAUGCCUAAUACAUGCAAGUCGAACGAGAAAGUUCCUUCGGGAGCGAGUAAAGUGGCGCACGGGUGAGUAACACGUAGGUGACCUACCUAGUAGAGUGGGAUAACAGUAAGAAAUUAUUGCUAAUACCGCAUAAGUUCGCUGAAAGUGGAAGUAAGCGAAGAAAAGAUGGCCUCUAUUUAUAAGCUAUCGCUACAUGAAGGGCCUGCGGCUCAUUAGCUAGUUGGUGGGGUAAAGGCCUACCAAGGCUAUGAUGAGUAGCCGGUCCGAGAGGAUGAUCGGCCACACUGGAACUGAGACACGGUCCAGACUCCUACGGGAGGCAGCAGUAGGGAAUAUUGCGCAAUGGGGGCAACCCUGACGCAGCGAUGCCGCGUGAGUGAGGAAGGCCUCGGGUUGUAAGACUCUGUCGUAAGGGAAAAGUAGGAUAGUAUGUGAAUAAUAUA
rnacentral:rRNA from 1 species